rnacentral:rRNA from 1 species
CCCUGGCUCAGGACGAACGCUGGCGGCGUGCCUAAUACAUGCAAGUCGAGCGGAAUGAUGAAGAAGCUUGCUUCUUCUGAUUUUAGCGGCGGACGGGUGAGUAACACGUGGGCAACCUACCUUGUAGAUUGGGAUAACUCCGGGAAACCGGGGCUAAUACCGAAUAAUCCAUUUUGCUUCAUGGCAAGAUGUUGAAAGGCGGCUUCGGCUGUCACUACGAGAUGGGCCCGCGGCGUAUUAGCUAGUUGGUAGGGUAACGGCCUACCAAGGCGACGAUACGUAGCCGACCUGAGAGGGUGAUCGGCCACACUGGGACUGAGACACGGCCCAGACUCCUACGGGAGGCAGCAGUAGGGAAUCUUCCACAAUGGACGAAAGUCUGAUGGAGCAACGCCGCGUGAGUGAAGAAGGUUUUCGGAUCGUAAAACUCUGUUGUAAGGGAAGAACACGUACGAGAGUAACUGCUCGUACCUUGACGGUACCUUAUUAGAAAGCCACG